AUUGAACGCUGGCGGCAGGCCUAACACAUGCAAGUCGAACGAGUGGCGGACGGGUGAGUAAUGUCUGGGAAACUGCAUGAUGGAGGGAGAUCACUACUGGCAACGGUAGCUAAUACCGCAUACCCUCAGAUGUGCCCAGAUGGGAUUAGCUUGGUGGUGGGGUAACGGCCCACCAAGGCGACGAGCCCUAGCUGGUCUGAGAGGAUGACCAGCUACACUGGAACGGAUACACGGUCCAGACUCCUACGAGAGGCAGCAGUGGGGAAUAUGGCACAAUGGGCGCUAGCCUGAUGCAGCGAUGCCGCGUGUAUGAAGAAGGCCUUCGGGUUGUAAAGUACUUUCAGCGGGGAGGCGUUACCCGCAGAAGAAGCACCGGCUAACUCCGUGCCAGCAGCCGCGGUAAUUC
rnacentral:rRNA from 1 species